rnacentral:rRNA from 1 species
AAGGCGCUUGAGAGAACUCGGGUGAAGGAACUCGGCAAAAUUGUACCGUAACUUCGGGAGAAGGUACGCCUCUGUUUGUGAACACUUCGCGUGGUAAGCAAAUGGAGGCCGCAGUGACCAGGUGGCUGGGACUGUUUAUUAAAAACACAGCACUCUGCAAACUCGUAAGAGGACGUAUAGGGUGUGACACCUGCCCGGUGCCGGAAGGUUAAUUGAUGGGGUUAGUUUUCGGACGAAGCUCUUGAUCGAAGCCCCGGUAAACGGCGGCCGUAACAAUAACGGUCCUAAGGUAGCGAAAUUCCUUGUCGGGUAAGUUCCGACCUGCACGAAUGGCGUAACGACUUCCCCGCUGUCUCCAACAUCGACUCAGCGAAAUUGAAUUGCCUGUCAAGAUGCAGGCUUCCCGCGGUUAGACGGAAAGACCCCGUGCACCUUUACUACAGCUUCGCACUGGCUUCAGGCACAACAUGUGCAGGAUAGGUGGUAGGCUUUGAACCAGAGACGCCAGUUUCUGGGGAGCCACCCUUGAGAUACCACUCUUGUUCUGCUUGAAGUCUAACCGCGGUCCGUUAUCCGGAUCCGGGACCCUGCGUGGUGGGUAGUUUGACUGGGGCGGUCUCCUCCCAAAUAGUAACGGAGGAGCACGAAGGUUAGCUAAUCACGGUCGGACAUCGUGAGGUUAGUGCAAUGGCAUAAGCUAGCUUAACUGCGAGACAGACACGUCGAGCAGGUACGAAAGUAGGUCAUAGUGAUCCGGUGGUUCUGUAUGGAAGGGCCAUCGCUCAACGGAUAAAAGGUACUCCGGGGAUAACAGGCUGAUACCGCCCAAGAGUUCAUAUCGACGGCGGUGUUUGGCACCUCGAUGUCGGCUCAUCACAUCCUGGGGCUGAAGUCGGUCCCAAGGGUAUGGCUGUUCGCCAUUUAAAGUGGUACGCGAGCUGGGUUUAGAACGUCGUGAGACAGUUCGGUCCCUAUCUGCCGUGGGUGUAGGAUACUUGAGAGGAGUUGCCCCUAGUACGAGAGGACCGGGGUGAACGAUCCACUGGUGGACCUGUUGUUGCGCCAGCAGCAGUGCAGGGUAGCUAUGAUCGGACAGGAUAACCGCUGAAGGCAUCUAAGCGGGAAGCCCCCCUCAAAACAAGGUAUCCCUGAGGACCGUGGUAGACCACCACGUCGAUAGGCCGGAGAUGUAAGUGCAGCAAUGCAUUCAGU